GGUGUGAAGAUCAGAGGACAGCCACAGAUAACUGUCUUCACUUUCCCCCUUGUUCAAGACGAGGUCUCUUGUUGUUUACUACUAUGCUCUCCCAUGAGCUCCCAAGAAUUCUCUGUCUCUACCUUGUGUAUUAGUCAUGUUCAUGCUGCUGCGAGAAAAUUCCACAAUGGAAAGUGUCAAGUGGAAGAGUUUAUUUUGGUCUGUGGUUCCAGAGGGAUAAGGGUCCAUCCUGUCUAGGAGGCAUGAGAGCAAAUAGUAAGACACUUAAGCAGCAGCAUGAGGCUUAGAGCUUACAUCCCCAGUGGCAAUCAAAGCAGAGAGAGCAAACCGGAAGUGGGUCAGGCUACGCACUCUCAAACCCCGCCUACCCCUUGAUUCACUUCCUCCCAGAAAGCUGCUUCUCUUCCCUGGACACCCAUAGGCUAGACCCAUGCACCCUGUGGGGUCUCACAGACAACCCUGUUAGUCCUGAGUUAUGUUGACCCAUGCUCAUGUCCACAGAACAGACAGCCCCGGCAUGGAGCCUGGUCCAGGUUUGCUCACAACUGAGAUCACCUCACUGCCUUUGUCUCCCACACACACACCGGUGCCCCACGGCAUGGCAGAGAAGGCUCUGGCGGGCCUGACUGCUCUCCAACCUACUGCAUCUGCGUAAGUGAUGAAGAAGAAUUUCAAAUUUCCUGCCCCCUCCCCCAACAACCUGGGAUCUGGGCUCCUCCAUCCACCAGCAAAAGCUUUAAUAUUUAAGCCGCAAGCAGCGGCCGCCAAGCGCUGUUGAGGGAAGAGAGCCCAGUAUUAUCCUAUCGUGUUGUUUCUCCUGUGCGCCCCUCGAAUCUGCGACAGACAAGACCUUCCCUUUUCACUGAGCAGCAUCCUAAGUUCCAGAUGAUGAGGCAGAGCCUGUUACAGGGCGGGGAGGGGGAUCGGAGUCUGAACCAUGGGCUGCUGAAGAGCCAGCUGGAUCUCCAGUCUCUUCCUUAGCAAGUCAGUGCUGCCCAGUAGACGGUACAAGCUGUGUUUAUCACGUUUUGGUGACAGCUGGGAAGUAAAAUGGAAGGCACCACUCUCUGGGGGAGGAAGAGUCACUCGUCGCUAGGCGGGGUCACUGGGAGCUUAACUAUGCCUGGCUGGCUGGCCCUUCACCCACAUAUGGGACCCUGAACUCAGGAGGAGGAGAUGUGUUGAGAGGGAGUCAGGGGGAGCCGGAGGGAUGGGUAUGAUCAUCGUAUGCAUGUAUGAAAGUUUCUAAGAAUAAAGAAUAAUGUUUGAUUUAGCCUACAGAUGUUGUGUGUGUGUGUGUGUGUGUGUGUGUGUGUGUGUGUGUGUGUGUAUGGUUGUGCGUAUGUGCGGAUACGCAGGAAGAGGCCAGGAAUCAACCCGAGGCGUCAUUCCCCAGGGACCAUCUACCUCGGUUUAUUAAGAUGGGGUCUCUCACUCGGCUUGGUACUCACUCUGGAGUUGGGUUUGGCCGACCAGGGUGCCCUCAGGGAUCUGCCCAUCUCCAUUCUCAGCAUUCGAAUGACAAGUACAGGUCACCACACCCGGGUUUUCCUCAUAGCUUUUGGGGAUCAAGCCUAGGCCCCUGCUUGUUGGCAAACACUUCACUCAGCUGUACCCUGGCCCAGGCAUGGCUUUUUUGGUGCUAGGAACAGAUUCUACAGAUACAUCAUGGUGUGGAGCAGUCAGGGUUCAAAUCCUCAAUAGCCACAUGUGACUCGAGUGGCUGGGCUAGAAAACUCCAGAUAAAAGAGUCCAGCCGCCCCUGGGUCAAAAGAGUUACCCCAUUGCCCAGCCUCAGCCUGUCAGAAUUUCCAAGAAAGAACUGGUGUAGAGACCCAGGAUACCCCAGCCACCAGGGCCCCUUCCUCAACCUGCUGGUGCGGCAGCCAUAGAAAAGUGCCUGAUUCUUGAAUCUUCCUUUUGAUGGUUGGACUCGCUCACUCAGAUUUAUUUAGCUUCUUUAUGAAGGACAGGUGAGUGCAGGGUACCCCAUUCAUCAUGAGGAAAGGACAGCCUCCCACCAAGGGGUCUGCUAAGACAGUCACCCUUUCUGUAAAUAAAUACCAUGGCGACUGCCUGGGACAGAAAAGCUAAGUGGGACUGAAGUCUGAGGAUACCCUCCCCCGCCCCUUUCCAUCCAUAAGCCAAAAUAUUGCUAAGGCUUUUUAUAAACAAAGAUAAUGAGUUCUAUAAUUUAUGUAAAUUAACCAACGCCACUGCAUUUUCUAGAAGUAACAUAAACUGCAUUAUUUAUUUGAUGCGCUUUUUGGAGUAAAAAAAAAAAAGAAUGUAUAAUUAUAAUUGGAUAUUGUACCUAACGGUUUUCUCCCAUUGUUUUCUGAUUAGCGUUGGUGGCUUGGAAUAUCAGAUGUGAACUCGCCGAGUGCCUUGGGAGGCCUUCCCUUUUGCACACAAAAGUGAUACGAGUCUGACCCAGGUCCUUGCACACGCCCUCUGUGGCAGAAAGAAAGCUCCGUGCAAGCGUCAUCCUGGGCGCACCCCGGUGCCAGGUGUCCAUUAUUUUCAGCAGAUGCUGGCAGGGGUUACCAGUUGAUCAGCUGCUCUGGGACAUGACUGACGCCAUUUUCCCUCCCUGAAGGCAUCCCUGUCCUACCCAAAGUUGAAUCCCCAGCCCUGACAACAGCAGCAGCUUUACCCAAAGACUCUCUCACUCCAUGCAGGAGCCAGUUCUGCCACACAGCCAAGUCUGGAGUCCCCAGGCGACUCUGCCGCUGGAACUUCGAGCAACCCUCCUCUAUGUUUAUUCUCAGUGAAGGGACUCCAUUCCCCUCUGCUCCCAGAGGAGGCAGCUGGCGCUGCUCUUGCAAAGACACCAGGCUGUGUCCCCCAGCUCGCCUGCCCCUGCCUGGCAGCAGCAACCUGCAUUCCCUCACAUCUAACAGACACUGGAAUGAGCAAGGCAGAAGAACCCCAUGCUGCAGUUCUUAAUAUCACCAUAUUAGGGGCAUUAAAAAUGCAAAGACAGAUAAUGAAGCAAAAGAAAUUAAAGAAAGGUCUGGGAAACCUCCCUCCCAGCCUUGGAAACACUUCCGUCCCCUAAAUGUGAGCCGACAUCUGGUGGCCCCUGUCACACGCCUGCUCCUCCUCGCUCAUGGGCCAAGUGUAAGAUUCUGGAAACCUGCAAAUGUGGAGAGCGGGUGCAUCACCUUGUUAACGCAGCAGAAUGCAGAGGGCGGACCUUUAUUAGAAAGCGAUGGAUCUUCGGGAGGACAGAAUCUCAUCUGGGACAGGAGGUCGGGACCUCUGCUUGUCCCGCCUCUGCCCCGGCUGGCUGCGAGGCUUCUCUCCUCGCUUCCAGGGGUGAAGAAAACUGAACAUCUCGGAUGGAAAAGCGAACGGGGAGGGGAAGGGUAAUUUACAGAAUUUAUUUCAUCCCCUCUCCCUUAAUCACAUAACGACAAAACCCCCAAACAUUCUACAUUCUGGCCUGUGUCCGACACAAUGUGCAAGCUAAUUGGGUGUAAAAACCGUCGCUCUGCGUUGUACCCAUUAAAGUGCGUGCGACAAUCGCUCUCCCUCCCACCCCCCCCUCCCCGAGAGCUCUGCUUCAUUUCUGUUUUUGUUAUAACUCAGUCCGUUCACAAUAUGUCAUCGAGGACGCUAUUUGCAAAAGAAAAGUAUAAAAACAGAUUCUUUAUUCCGAACUGCACUCGUUUUGCAUCCCCCUCUCAGCCUCUCCGCGUUUAGACCAGGCUUCCAUCCGGAAGGCUUUAAAAAAAAAAGUUAUAGACAGAAUUGCCAUACAUAACGAAGCACGCUCUCAUCUGGUAUUUAGCCUGAGAAUUUUAUUGCCAGGUGUUGCGAAAGGGGGAGAUACGCGGCCAAAAUAUACCGUGCUUCCUCUUCGUUUUCAAACACUACAUUUCGUGUCUGAAAAUAUUCAUUAAUCUGGGGAGGAGGCUUCCUCAGUACAGCCACCUAAGGGACUCCCAGGAAAAGAUAGACAUCACCAGGAAGGAAGCUGUGGUGGGCAAAGGCAGGGAUGACCGUGGACCCCCUGACUCUGCCUCUGCAUACGCGGGAACCAGAAACUCAGAGCUGCCACCCCUCCAAACCUCUGCUUAGCCACCCAGGAACCGGAAGCCCAGCUCUACCUGUUCUGCCCACCUAACACUCAACUCCCUGCAGCAAUUAAAGAGUUAAAGUCAGCAGCAGGGGCUGCUACUGACCGAGCUGGUUUAAAUGAUUGCUAUACUAGCAUGAGGACCCAAGCUCAACCCGCCAGAGUUCGAGGGACAAACUCUGCUUAUAAUGAUGCACUCCCAUAAUCCCUCUGCCGGGGACAUGGAGGCGAGAGGAUCCUUGGGGCUUGUUGUCUAGCCAAUCUAGCUGAAUCAGGGCAUUCCGGGUUGAAAGAGAGACCCUGCCUCAAAAAUAUUAAAAAAAAAAACGUGACAGAUUGUUAACCUAUGGCCUCAAAUGUAUGCA
rnacentral:sRNA from 1 species